rnacentral:rRNA from 1 species
UACGUAGGGUGCGAGCGUUGUCCGGAAUUAUUGGGCGUAAAGAGCUCGUAGGCGGUGUGUCACGUCGGCCGUGAAAACCUGCAGCUUAACUGUGGGCGUGCGGUCGAUACGGGCAUCACUGGAGUUCGGCAGGGGAGACUGGAAUUCCUGGUGUAGCGGUGAAAUGCGCAGAUAUCAGGAGGAAUACCUAUGGCGAAAGCAGGUCUCUGGGCCACAACUGACGCUGAGCUGCGAAAGCUAGGGGAGCAAACAGG